rnacentral:rRNA from 1 species
GGGGAAUAUUGCACAAUGGGGGAAACCCUGAUGCAGCGACGCCGCGUGGAGGAAGAAGGUCUUCGGAUUGUAAACUCCUGUUGUUGGGGAAGAUAAUGACGGUACCCAACAAGGAAGUGACGGCUAACUACGUGCCAGCAGCCGCGGUAAAACGUAGGUCACAAGCGUUGUCCGGAAUUACUGGGUGUAAAGGGAGCGCAGGCGGGAAGACAAGUUGGAAGUGAAAUCUAUGGGCUCAACCCAUAAACUGCUUUCAAAACUGUUUUUCUUGAGUAGUGCAGAGGUAGGCGGAAUUCCCGGUGUAGCGGUGGAAUGCGUAGAUAUCGGGAGGAACACCAGUGGCGAAGGCGGCCUACUGGGCACCAACUGACGCUGAGGCUCGAAAGUGUGGGUAGCAAACAGGAUUAGAUACCCUGGUAGUCCACACUGUAAACGAUGAUUACUAGGUGUUGGAGGAU